rnacentral:rRNA from 1 species
AACGAACGCUGGCGGCAUGCCUAACACAUGCAAGUCGAACGAGACCUUCGGGUCUAGUGGCGCACGGGUGCGUAACGCGUGGGAACCUGCCCUUAGGUUCGGCAUAACUCCCCGAAAGGGGUGCUAAUACCGGAUAAUGUCUUCGGACCAAAGAUUUAUCGCCUUUGGAUGGGCCCGCGUUGGAUUAGCUAGUUGGUAGGGUAAAAGCCUACCAAGGCGACGAUCCAUAGCUGGUCUGAGAGGAUGAUCAGCCACACUGGGACUGAGACACGGCCCAGACUCCUACGGGAGGCAGCAGUGGGGAAUAUUGGACAAUGGGCGAAAGCCUGAUCCAGCAAUGCCGCGUGAGUGAUGAAGGCCUUAGGGUUGUAAAGCUCUUUUACCCGGGAUGAUAAUGACAGUACCGGGAGAAUAAGCACCGGCUAACUCCGUG